rnacentral:rRNA from 1 species
CAGUGUAGCGGUGAAAUGCGUAGAGAUCGGGAGGAAUACCAGUGGCGAAGGCGGCCUUCUGGCCUGACACUGACACUGAGGUGCGAAAGCGUGGGUAGCAAACAGGAUUAGAUACCCUGGUAGUCCACGCCGUAAACGAUGUCGACUAGCUGUUGGGACCUUUAAGGACUUAGUGGCGCAGUUAACGCGAUAAGUCGACCGCCUGGGGAGUACGGCCGCAAGGUUAAAACUCAAAUGAAUUGACGGGGGCCCGCACAAGCGGUGGAGCAUGUGGUUUAAUUCGAUGCAACGCGAAGAACCUUACCUACCCUUGACAUCCUGCGAAUUUGGUAGAGAUACCUUAGUGCCUUCGGGAGCGCAGUGACAGGUGCUGCAUGGCUGUCGUCAGCUCGUGUUGUGAAAUGUUGGGUUAAGUCCCGUAACGAGCGCAACCCUUGUCCUUAUUUGCCAGCGAGUCAUGUCGGGAACUCUAAGGAGACUGCCGGUGACAAACCGGAGGAAGGUGGGGACGACGUCAAGUCAUCAUGGCCCUUACGGGUAGGGCUACACACGUGCUACAAUGGCCGGUACAAAGGGUUGCGAGACCGCGAGGUGGAGCGAAUCCCAGAAAGCCGGCCUCAGUCCGGAUCGGAGUCUGCAACUCGACUCCGUGAAGUCGGAAUCGCUAGUAAUCGUGAAUCAGAAUGUCACGGUGAAUACGUUCCCGGGCCUUGUACACACCGCCCGUCACACCAUGGGAGUGGACUGCACCAGAAGUGGUUAGCUUAACCUUCGGGAG